CGCUGAUGAGGCUGAAACAGGGCUGGAUCCCCUGCAGUUCAACGCGUCUUAGGAGGGAGGGUCUUGUCUCCUUCGAGGGGGUGGCUGUGUAUUCCUCCGAGGAGGAGUGGUCUCAGCUGGAUCCUCAC